UACGUAGGAUGCAAGCGUUGUUCGGAAUUACUGGGCGUAAAGAGUACGUAGGCGGUUUGAAAAGUCUGAUAUUAAAGACUGGGGCUUAACUCCAGGAGUGUAUCGGAAACUGCCGGGCUUGAGUGUGGGAGAGGUGAGUGGAAUUCCUGGUGUAGCGGUGAAAUGCGUAGAUAUCGGGAGGAACACCUGUGGCGAAAGCGGCGCACUGGACCACAACUGACGCUGAGGCGCGAAAGCUAGGGGAGCAAACAGG
rnacentral:rRNA from 1 species